rnacentral:rRNA from 1 species
CCUACGGGUGGCUGCAGUGGGGAAUAUUGCACAAUGGGCGAAAGCCUGAUGCAGCGACGCCGCGUGAGCGAAGAAGGCCUUCGGGUCGUAAAGCUCUGUCCUAUGGGAAGAAAGAUGACGGUACCAUAGGAGGAAGCCCCGGCUAACUACGUGCCAGCAGCCGCGGUAAUACGUAGGGGGCGAGCGUUGUCCGGAAUGACUGGGCGGAAAGGGUACGUAGGCGGCUAGAUAAGUCAGAUGUGAAAGGCAUAGGGUUAACCUGUGGAAGCAUUUGAAACUGUCUAGCUUGAGUCAAGGGGAGGGAAGUGGAAAUCCGGGUGUAGCGGUGAAAUGCGUAGGUAUCAGGGGGAAUACCAGUGGCGAAGGGGACUUUCUGGAAUUAGAAUGACGCUGGGGUUACAAAGCGUUGGGAGCAAACAGGAUUAGAUACCCUAGUAGUC